AACGUCACAGCNGUACGCUAUUAACGGACAACCUUUCUUCCCAAUUGAAAGUGCUUUACAACCCUAAGGCCUUCCUUCACACACGCGGCAUGGCUGCGUCAGGCUUUCGCCCAUUGCGCAAUAUUCCCCA
rnacentral:rRNA from 1 species